rnacentral:rRNA from 1 species
GCUCAGUAACGCGUCGAUAAUCUGCCCUUAGGUCUGGGAUAACGUUGGGAAACUGACGAUAAAACCGGAUAUGAAAAUACAACUGGAAGGUGUAUUUUUUCAAACGCAAGGCCUAAGGAUGAGUUGGCGGCGGAUUAGGUUGUUGGCGAGGUAACGGCUCACCAAGCCGAAGAUCCGUAGGGGCCUUGAAAGAGGUAGCCCCGAGAAGGGCACUGAGACACUGGCCCUAGCUCCACGGAGUGCAGCAGGCGCGAAAACUUCACAAUGCACGAAAGUGUGAUGAGGGAAUCCCAAGUGAUAUUGCAAUGCAAUGUCUUUUGCCAAGGGUAAAUACCUUGGAGAAUAAGUGGUGGGCAAUACCUGUGCCAGUCGCCGCGGUAACCCAGGAGCCACAAGUGGCAACCACCUUUAUUUGGCCUAAAGCGUCCGUAGCCGGCUAUGUAAAUUUCCUGUGAAAUCGUUGCGCUCAACGUAACGGCGCGCAGGGAACACUGCAUGGCUCGGGACCGGGAGGAGUCAGAGGUAUUUGAGGGGGGAGCGGUAAAAUGCUAUAAUCCUUCAAGGACCACCUGUGGCGAAGGCGUCUGACUAGAACGGAUCCGACGGUGAGGGACGAAAGCUAGGGGGAGCAAUCCGGAUUAGAUACCCGAGUAGUCCUAGCUGUAACUCUGCGAGCUAGGUGUUGCGCAAUCUUCGGGAUUGCGUGGUGUCGAAGCGGAAGGCGAUAAGCUCCGCCGUCCUGGGGGAGUACGGUCCGCCAAGGCUGAAACCUCCAAGG